ensembl:lncRNA VIPR1-AS1 VIPR1 antisense RNA 1
AAGGACUGUGCUCCCAAUCCGCUUACGCUCAAGGAAGAACUGGUCAGCCCUAGGUGCAGCUGCAACCUGAGGGACUUGUCCUGGGAUCAGACAUUUUGAGGACUUUCUUGACCCUUGGCUGAUAUCCUUGCAGGCAGGACCUGCAGCUAAGCAAGACGUAGGACUGCAAGCUGGGUUGGCACCCUCCCCCUAGGGAGUUCUCCAGGCCUUGCCCCCUCUGUCCCCAGCCUGGAAGCCCUCCCUGGUACCAUACCCCAGCCGAUGAGUAUGUACCCCCAGAAGUACUUCCGCUCAGAGAAGAAGGAGACGGCAAGCAGGGUGUACAGGUAGAGGCCCUCCACCAGCAGCCAGAAGAAGUUAGCCAUGACACAAUAUUGGAAAAAGACCAUGGCUGCCUUACAGCCCACCUGCAGGGGGAGGAGAAAAGACGGGGUUCACUGGGGCUGUCAAGGGUCCUUGACUGCCCACACUCGUGUCUGGGGGGACAAACACAGUUGCAGUGCAGCCAA